rnacentral:rRNA from 1 species
UACGUAGGUGGCAAGCGUUGUCCGGAUUUACUGGGCGUAAAGUGCGCGCAGGCGGACUGAUCAGUCUGGGGUGAAAUCUCCCGGCUCAACUGGGAGCGGUCCCUGGAUACUGUCAGUCUUGAGAGACCUAGAGGAGAGCGGAAUUCCCGGUGUAGUGGUGGAAUGCGUAGAUAUCGGGAAGAACACCAGUGGCGAAAGCGGCUCUCUGGGGGUUUUCUGACGCUGAGGCGCGAAAGCGUGGGGAGCGAACCGG